GUGCUUGCUUCGGCAGCACAUAUACUAUAAUCAGAACGAUACAGAGAAGAUUAGCAUGGCCCCUGCACAAGGAUGAUAUGCAAAUUGGUGAUGCAUUCCAUAUUUUU